rnacentral:rRNA from 1 species
GCUCGUAGUUGAAAUUCGAGUCAGUUGCUAGUUGGCUCUUCGUCAAUUAGUUAAUUGAUUCUCCGUCUACAAUCCCUUUUGCGCUUUAGGGUUGCAGCUGGGCGAGUAGACAAUUUACCUUGAAAAAAUUAGAGUGUUCCAGGCAGGUCUUCGCCGGAAUACAUUAGCAUGGAAUAAUGGAAUAGGACUUGAGUCUUUUGUUGGUUUUAGGACUUAAGUAAUGAUUAAUAGGGACAGAUGGGGGCAUUAGUAUUUAAUUGUCAGAGGUGAAAUUCUUGGAUUUAUUAAAGACUAACUUAUGCGAAAGCAUUUGCCAAGGAUGUUUU